GUGACGCACAUCAACCACCCGAGACCAGUUCUUUCACACAUACAUCUUGCCGGGCCUCGACGGCCUC
rnacentral:rRNA from 1 species